UGGAGUUUCACUCUGUUGUCCAGGCUGGAGUGCAGUGGCCCGAUCCCGGCUCACUGCAACCUCCGCCUCUCAGAUUCAAGAGAUUUUCCUGCGUCAGCCUCCGGAGUAGCUGGGACUACAGGAGGGCGCAACAGCACGACCUGAAAACUUUCCAGACAGGGACAGAGCAAGGUGGUGGAAUAGAAGGCUCCACUGAUCAUCUCCUCUGCAAGGACACCAAGUUAACAACUAUCUAUACAGAAUAGAUUUUGGUUCAUUAAGAACUAAAAAUCAGACAGGAUUUCACUUUGUUACCCAGCCUGGAGUGCAGUGGUGUGAUCUCAGCUCACUGCAGCCUCAAACUCCUGAGCCCAGGUGAUCCUCCUGCCUCAGCCUCCCAAGUAGCUGGGACUACAGCUGAAUUCUUUCUUCCAAGAAGAAUCAAGGACCAAGGAUCCCAUUUGAAUUCUCCACUGGUAUCAGGACUCCUGCAACAGAAGACAGAUUAACAGCAGAAAAGCAAACAUAAGUUUAAUAACAGGUACAGCUCCUGAAUAUGUCACACGCAUCCACGUGAAAAGACCACCAAACAGGCUUUGUGUGAGCAAUAAAGCUUUUACUCACCUGGGUGCAGGCAGGCUGAGUCCAAAAAAGGAGUCAGCUAAGGGAGAUAGGGGUGAGACAGUUUUAUAGGAUUUGGGCAGGUAGCGGAAAAUUGCAGUCAAAGGGGGUUGUUCUCUGGCAGCCAGGGGCGGGGGUCACAAGGUGCUCCAAUGGGGAGCUUCUGAGAAUCAUUGUCCAGGAGAAGGAAUUUCACAAGGUAAUGUCAUCAGUUAAGGCAGGAACCAGCCAUUUUCACUUCUUUUGUGGUUCUUCAGUUGCCUCAGGCCAUCUGGAUGUAUACAUGCAGGCUUGGGCUCAGAGGACUGACAGUAUACAUGAGAGAGAACUCAGAGAAAUCAGUAAACCUCUAAAGUUGUCAAAAAGUUUGACAACUCAAACAAAAAGUUUGAGAUCGCUAAAGAUCUCAAAAAGUUGUCCUCAGACUUCAGGCUUAAAUAUAAUCAUUCUCAAAAUCAAAGAAAGAGGGGCGUGGGGACAGGCCCUUUAACUGUAAAACAAGGAUAAGGUCUGUUAUGCAGAUUUAAGUAUAUACCCCUUCUUUUAACUAAAGUCUCUAGUGAUUUAGUUGGUCUUCUCUUCCUGGUACAAAGUGGGAAACACUUUUUACAAAAGGAGAUCUCUUUAUAGAUGUAAAUUUUUCUUAUAAAUGGAUAAACUUUCAGAGGUGCUUCUGUGUCUGAGGUGCCAUAGAGGUGAAUUGGGGGUGCAUAUACUGGUCUCUUACAGUCAUAUGUGGAGAAACAUUUUCUGAACCCCAUCAGUAGCAAUACAGCCUAUGUCCUUAUGACCCUUGUAAAGUGACUAUUCAGAAUCUAACAAAGGUUGAUGGAAUGAGCAUCUGACCAAUGUAAAUCAAAGAAAAUUACUGCAGCGAGUCUCAGUCAUGUUAGAGGUUUAUUUGCCAAGGUUAAGGAUGAGCACAGGAUAACAGGAACACAGACCACAGAAAACAUCUGUGUUUUCUGGUACUUUAAUAUUUAAAGGAAAAAAGUGGGUAUUAAGGGAAAGAGGGAAAAAAAAGGAGAGUAGAUAAAAGAGGCAAGUGGUUGCAUUUCUUUGAGUCUGCUCAGUCUUUGCUGAAUCCACAUUUUACAUGUGAAAGAGAGUAGAGGAAUAGUCACUUAUGUAAUUGUCUCUUGCUCAGGGAAUCUGCAUUUUUAUGUAAGAUAAAAUAAAUAUAGGGUAGAGGAAGCAGUUAGAUAUGCAUUUGUCUCAGGUGAGUGGAGGAAUGACUUAGUUCUGUCCUCUGCCCCAUAACUAUGAAGAUAAGUUGUCAAUUUACAUUGUCAGAGUGAAAUUUAACAGAACAAUUUUAGGGGAAAGAUCUUGGGGGCCUACAAGGAAUUUCCUUGUGAGCAAAUUGUGAGGGAAGUAUGUAGCUUUUUUAUCUUUGUAGCUAUUUUAUUAGGAACAAAACUGGAUGCAGGUUUGGGUGACCCAGUUCCCAGCUUGACUUUUCCCUUUGGCUUAGGGAAUCUGGGGUACUGAGAUUUAUUUUCCUUUCACAUCACCCAGGCCUUAUUUGAUCUCAGGUCUUCCCAUUUUGCCUCACCUCCAGUGCUCUCUUAGAACAGAAUACCUUCCCAGCAAGGAUAUCACACUCCUAACUUUUAAUCUAUUGCCUUCAUUUGCAGACUGUUCAAUCAUUGUUUUCCCCCUCCCAUUCUGUUGCAACCCAUUGUGAAAUUAAUAAACAAAUAAUAUCUAUUUUA
rnacentral:lncRNA from 1 species